UGGGGAUUAGCUCAAAUGGUAGAGCGCUCGCUUAGCAUGCGAGAGGUAGCGGGAUCAAUGCCUGCAUCCUCCA
rnacentral:tRNA from 1 species